CUUGUGUGGGUUUGUGUUACCUUGUUCUGAUAUGGGUUUUACCUUUUCUGAUACCCUGUUCUGAUAUGGGUUUUAGCGUGUGUGGGUUUGUGUUGUGUGUGUGUGUGAGUGUGUGUGUGAGUGUGUUUGUGUGUGUGCAUUAUUUAUCAAUGACGAUACACAUCUGCAUGUUAACAGUCCAUGCUAUACAAAUCCAAAAUGAACAACGGUCAAAUGCAACCAUCGACCAGAUGUUUCCAUGACAACACUCAGGUCCGCUGCACUGAUAGAACGCCACAAGCCUGUUAGCUUGUUAGCCUGUCUGCUUUUAAGCAUGUUAGCCCAUUGGCAUGUGAGCCUGUUGGCUUGUUAGCGUGUUUAUUUUUGAGUCAGUUAGCCUGUUAGCAUUGUUGGCAGGCCUGUUUGUUAAGGUCAGGCCUGUUUUAUUAAGGUCAGGCCUGUUUUUUAAGUUCCGGCCUGUUUGUUGAGUUCAGACCUGUUUGUUGAGUUCAGGCCUGUUUGUUGAGUUCAGGCCUGUUUGUUGAGUUCAGGCCUGUUGGUUGAGUUCAGGCCUGUUUGUUAGGUUCAGGCCUGUUUGUUAGGUUCAGGCCUGUUUGUUAGGUUCAGGCCUGUUUGUUAGGUUCAGGCCUGUUUGUGGAGUUCAGGCCUGUUUGAGGCUACGGUAAACAACAUUGUUUUAAAGGAUGGAGGUCUGUAGGAUGUGUGUUUCGCAGUCGUACAGAUUCUUCAUCACCCUCUAAUGCAGCGGUUCUCGCCUCAUGUUAUUGGGUGUUUUCAAAGGUGCAGUGUGAAGGGUUUUGGUGGCAUCUAGUGGUGAGGUUGCAGAUUGCAGCCAACUGAGUACCCCCUCUGAAGUCUGAAUACCCUCUAACCUCCUCAUCCGUCCCCACCACGUUGGAGGAGCUACACUGGACCGGGCUGGCCUUGUUAGGGGGCAGACGGUACCUUAACAUGAUGUCUUCAUCUACAGCAGCCUCGGCCAAGUGUCAAGUGAAGAGAUUUAGUUUCUUGAUUCUAGUUUUUUCAAAAGUAGAUCAUCAAUACUGAAUAUAUAUGAAACGGUCCCAGUACUCAUUUCCACGCAGUAGUGAUGUAUGUGUGUGUGUGUGUGUGUGUGUGUGUGUGUGUGUUUCUCCGACACCCAGCGCUGUGGCCAUAAAGCCCCCCUCCUCUCAUUCAAUCACUGUGCAGUCUCUCGCAGUAAUCGCUGGUAAUUUUGCCGUCGUAACCAUGUUAUAGCCUUAUAU
ensembl:lncRNA